rnacentral:rRNA from 1 species
GACGGGGGGGGCAAGUGUUCUUCGGAAUGACUGGGCGUAAAGGGCACGGUAGGCGGUGAAUCGGGUUGAAAGGUGAAAGUCGCCAAAAAGUGGCGGAAUGCUCUCGAAACCAAUUCACUUGAGUGAGACAGAGGAGAGUGGAAUUUCGUGUGUAGGGGUGAAAUCCGAUAAAUAUACGGAAGGAACGCCAAAAGCGAAGGCAGCUCG